rnacentral:lncRNA from 10 species
CUCCUCAGUUGCUGGUUUGAUUAUUGAGUUGUGGUGAUGGGGGAGGGAUGGCAAUCAGGAGGUCAGCGGCCAGAGGCCACCCAGCAUCUCUGGGUCAAGAAAUUAACCAAAUCAGAGAUACUCAGCAUGGGCUUGAGGAAGAUGUGUUUUGACAUCAUUUUCUCCAAAUCUCUCGAAGUUUGUGACAAGUCUUUUUCUGCUACACUUUCUUCUAGUUCCUGUUCACAGUUUUGACCUCUUCCUCCAUUUUCUCUGAUGUUUAGCUGAUUUUUACCGUCUGUUCCAUCAUCCAGUUCUCCAAGGUGUUCAUUUUGACAUCCAGCCUGACACUUCCUUCGCACUUUUGUGGCACCUCUAGCACUGCCACUUGCUUGGUUUUUGACAGCUGGUACCAUCAACAAACAAAUGCUGUAGCUGAUGCAUGUUGUAAAAGUCUGCAUGAACUCUGUUCUUCAGUGCUGCAAUUUCUGAUGUGAACAGCACCAUCAGCUUUAC